UUCUCUCUCUCUAUUCUCUCUCUAUUCUCUCUCUAUUCUCUCUCUCUAUUCUCUCUCUCUAUUCUCUCUCUAUUCUCUCUCUCUAUUCUCUCUCUAUUCUCUCUCUCUAUUCUCUCUCUAUUCUCUCUCUUUAUUCUCUCUAUUCUCUCUCUCUAUUCUCUCUAUUCUCUCUCUCUAUUCUCUCUUGUUGAGAGUGUUAGAGUGAAACAGUAGAGGAGUGUAAACUCUGUGAUGAAGAUGUUGAAAAUGUAAAGUUUCAGCUUCACCUCUGACUGUUACACAGCGCUGACACUGGAGACUCCUUCCUACACACGUUAUCAACGAUUACAUACGUUUUUUGAUCAGUUUAUGUGGAGCAUCCGUUCGCUGUGAACGAGCCGUUACUAUAGAAACGAUAACGUAUCAGCACGAGCGCAUUAAUAUAAACCUGCGCUACUAUCUGAUCUGCUGUUAUAGAGAACUAAUCACCACCUUCUGACCAAUCAGGAUCCAGAACUCUGCAGCGCCGUGGUGUAAAUGGAGCUAAAGAGAAAACAGGGUGUUUGGUAUCUAUUUGAAAAUAAAUGUUGGUGUAAGAAGAAGGUUUGGUUUGUGCUGAUGAGACUGAACUCUACAGCAGGGUUCAGUGUGUGUGAUUCUCUCGCCCUGCGUUUAUGCGCGUGUUUAGACCGAGCAGAACGGCGGCACGCUUUCAAUUACACGCUUGGUUUAGUGUGUACUACAGCAAUUACGCAUCAGGAUGGAGCAAGAUGGAGGCUGUUGGUCUAAAGCUGCGUUUAAACGCGACACAGCUCGCCAUUUUUACGUCUCAAAUUGCUUUUCGCACUUGGCUGCUUGGAGCGUCUUUAGCCAUUUUUUUUAAUCUAUGUCUAUCACACACACACACACACACACACACACACACACACACACACACACACACAGAUGUUAGCUAAUGCAUGACGUGAUCUACACGGAGCUCUGCUUUAUUCUAAAGCCCAUUAUCAGCCUCAGGUGAACAGACGAGUCACGCUCAUCAUAACCCAGUCUACACCAGAGUAAUAGAGCCACUUAUCAUGUGUGUGUGUGUGUGUGUGUGUGUGUGUGUGUGUGUGUGUGUGUGUGUGCGUGUGUGUGUGUGUGCUGAGUGCUGGUGUGUAUAAAAGCAUUUCCAUACGUAUGAAGGACAGAAAGAAGGAAAGAAAGAAUAUCAAUUAUAGAAAGAAUAAAGUCAUUGUUAAUAAAUCUCGUCCCUCUGUCACUUCCAGCACAACAAUUCCUUCUGAAAAUUUAGAUCAGAUGUGUGUGUGUGUGUGUGUGUGUGUGUGUGUGUGUGUGUGUGCACCAGGUGUAGGAGGUGUUCAGGAAGGCGAGCUGCAGUGGGCGUGGUCAGUGAGACGUGUGUGUGUGUGUGUGUGUGUGUGUGUGUGUGUGUGUAGGAGGUGUUCAGGAAGGCGAGCUGCAGUGGGCGUGGUCAGUGAGACGGGCGUGCGUGAGCAGAGCGUCACUGAGACGCCGUCCGUCAGCCCGCAGUUCUAUUUGCUGCUGGACCACAGAGCGUGUAACGAUGAAAAGAUGCUCCACGUGGUCGGUUCUCAGAGAAGAGGAGUGUGUCCAUGCUGCUCCAGAGAAACAGAUGAGAGUGUUGUCUCUGAAGACACUGGGACUCAGAAAACACUUGUGGAUUUUGCAGACACACCGGAGUCAUGUAUGAAGCCCAGCGUUAAUCUGAUCUCUCUGGACGACUCACACACAUCAUCUCUGAUCUGAACAUCUGCUGCCUGUGUGUGUGUGUGUGUGUGUGUGUGUGUGUGUGUGUGUGUGUGUGUGUGUGUGUGUGUAAGCAGAGAUCUAAUGUGAGUGAUCAUUAGGGUUUGGGCUGUGCUGAUGUUUGAGGGUGUGAGGGUAUACUGUGAUAAAGACAUCUAAAUGAUCACUAAUGACAAACGCACAUCAGUAUCCAGAGCUCAGACAGAACUACAGACAUACAGUGAAUUCCAUUAAUAUUGGCACCCUUGGUAAAUAUGAGCAAAGUAGGCUGUGAAAAAUUGUCUUUAUUGUUUAACCUUCUGAUCUUUUGUUCAAAAUUCAUGCUCUCAUAGAUAUCAAACAAUCGCAAACACAACACAGGUUUAUGCAAAAAAUAAAAAUUCUUUGUUAAAUAUAGGUGUGCAACAAUUAUUGGCACUUCAGUGAAUUCAUGUGCGAAAAUAUAUUUGAAGUAUUGAUAUUCAUUGAUAUUUAAAAAAUAAUAAUAAUUAAUACACCUGGUGACUAGGAACAGGAAAGUGUUCAACCGUGACUUCCUGUUUCACAGGGGUAUAAAUAUGAGGUAACACACAGGCCAAAUUCCCUUAGUCAUUCAUAACAAUGGGUAAGAGCGAGGAAUGUAGCUGUGAUGUGCGGCAAAAGGUUGUUGAGCUUCACACAAUGGGGCGUGUCUAUAAGAAAAUAGCACAAGCAUUGAAAACGCCCAUUUCACCAUCAGGGCAAUAAUGAAGAAGUUCCAGUCCACUGGAAAUGUUAUGAAUGGACCUGGAACUGGACGUGUGUCUAUAUCGUCUCAACGCACUGUGAAGAGGACGGUUCGAGUGGAUAAAACAUCUCCAAGGGAUCACAGCUGGAGAACUGCAGAAGUUAGUUGUGUCUUGGGGUCAGAAAGUCUCCAAAACUACAAUCUGAAGUCACCGACAUCACCACAAGCUGUUUGGAAGGGUUUGAAGAAAAAAGCCUCUACUCUCAUCCAAAAACACACUCGAGCGUCUUCAGUGUGCCGACACUACUGGAACUUCAAAUGGGAUCGGGUUCUACGGUCAGAUGAAACCAGAAUAGAGCUUUUUGGUAAUAAACACAGAGGUGGUUUUGGAGCACACAGAGAGGUAGCCGUAUGGAAAAG
ensembl:lncRNA